rnacentral:rRNA from 1 species
ACGCUGGCGGCACGCCUAAUACAUGCAAGUCGAACGGAGUAGCAAUACUUAGUGGCAGACGGGUGAGUAACAUGUGGGUAUCUUCCCUUUGGUGAGGAAUAACACGAGGAAACUUGUGCUAAUACCUCAUAAGUCUUUACGGAGAAAGCUUUAUGCGCCAAUGGAUGAGCCCGCACUUGAUUAGUUUGUUGGUAGGGUAAUGGCCUACCAAGACUGUGAUCAAUAGCUGAUUUGAGAGGAUGAUCAGCCACAUUGGGACUGAGACACGGCCCAAACUCCUACGGGAGGCAGCAGUAGGGAAUCUUGCACAAUGGAGGAAACUCUGAUGCAGCGAUGCCGCGUGAGUGAAGAAGGCCCUUGGGUUGUAAAGCUCUUUCGUCGGGGAAGAAAAUGACUGUACCCGAAUAAGAAGGUCCGGCUAACUUCGUGCCAGCAGCCGCGGUAAUACGAAGGGACCUAGCGUAGUUCGGAAUUACUGGGCUUAAAGAGUUCGUAGGUGGUUAAAAAAGUUGGUGGUGAAAGCCCAGAGCUUAACUCUGGAAUUGCCAUCAAAACUUUUUAGCUAGAGUAUGAUAGAGGAAAGCAGAAUUUCUAGUGUAGAGGUGAAAUUCGUAGAUAUUAGAAAGAAUACCAAUUGCGAAGGCAGCUUUCUGGAUCAUUACUGACACUGAGGAACGAAAGCAUGGGUAGCGAAGAGGAUUAGAUACCCUCGUAGUCCAUGCCGUAAACGAUGUGUGUUAGAUGUUGGAAAUUUAUUUUCAGUAUCGCAGCGAAAGCAAUAAACACACCGCCUGGGGAGUACGACC